UGAAUACGAGAUGCUACGGCGUCGAAGCAGUCUAUGUCAUACUUCCAAGAAAAGCUUGCACUGUCAUAAACAAAUAAUGCCUGUACCAUAACCGACACAGGUGGGUAGGUAGAGUAUACUAAGGGGCGCGAGAUAACUCUCUCUAAGGAACUCGGCAAAAUGACUCCGUAACUUCGGGAGAAGGAGUGCCUUAUUUAUAAGGUUGCAAUAACAAGACCCAAGCAACUGUUUAUCAAAAACACAGGUCUCCGCUAAGUCGUAAGACGAUGUAUGGGGGCUGACGCCUGCCCAGUGCCAGAAGGUUAAAGAAGUUGGUUAGCAUUAGCGAAGCUGAUGACUGAAGCCCUGGUGAACGGCGGCCGUAACAAUAACGGUCCUAAGGUAGCGAAAUUCCUUGUCGGGUAAGUUCCGACCCGCACGAAAGGCGUAAUGAUUUGGGUACUGUCUCAGAGAGGGACUCGGUGAAAUAGACUUGUCUGUGAAGAUGCGGACUACCUGCACCUGGACAGAAAGACCCUAUGAAGCUUUACUGUAACCUGAAAUUGAAAUUGGACUUUAUUUGCGCAGUAUAGGUGGGAGGCUUUGAAGAUAUUCUUGCGGGAAUGUUGGAGCCAUCAGUGAGAUACCACUCUUGUAAUGUUAGAUUUCUAACUUUGUAUCAUUAUCUGGUCAAAGAACAGUUUCAGGCGGGCAGUUUGACUGGGGCGGUCGCCUCCUAAACGGUAACGGAGGCGCACAAAGGUUUCCUCUGAACGGGUAGAAAUCGUAUCUAGAGUGUAAAGGCAUAAGGAAGCUUGACUGUGAGACCUACAAGUCGAGCAGGGACGAAAGUCGGUCUUAGUGAUCUGACGGUGCUGAGUGAAAAGGCCGUCACUCAACGGAUAAAAGUUACUCUAGGAUAACAGGCUGAUCUCCCCCAAGAGUUCACAUCGACGGGGAGGUUUGGCACCUCGAUGUCGGCUCAUCGCAUCCUGGGGCGGUAGUACGUCCCAAGGGUUGGGCUGUUCGCCCAUGAAAGCGGUACGCGAGCUGGGUUCAGAACGUCGUGAGACAGUUCGGUCCAUAUCCGGUGUAGGCGUUAGAAUAUUGAGAGGAGCCUUCUCUAGUACGAGAGGACCGAGAAGGACACACCUCUGGUGUACCAGUUAUCGUGCCAACGGUAAACGCUGGGUAGCUAUGUGUGGAGCGGAUAACCGCUGAAAGCAUCUAAGUGGGAAGCCCACCUCAAGAUAAGUAUUCUCAUCAG
rnacentral:rRNA from 1 species